rnacentral:misc_RNA from 1 species
AAUCGACAGACUAUCUGAUUUGGUUAAUUCAACCUCUUAAAUGGAAGUAGUUAUCACAUUUAAUUACUCAACUUUAAAAUACAAUUAAGCUAUUGGCCUAAAUAUCAUAUUCUUGUCAAUGGCUAGGGGGUAAAGAGUAUAUAUGGAGUACAUAUUCAAUGUGGUUAACUGAAAAUCACCCCAUACCCCAAAAUUCCAAUCCCACAAAUACAAAAUAUAUAUGAAACAAAUUUAUAGGAAGUCCUAUACCUAGCAAAGCCUUCUCAUCUAACAUUACUUUGGAAGCAAUGCCAAUGCAGAUUGGAUAACAUUAGGCAACUUUUCUCUCAAUGUGUAAACUGUGUUCUUCAACGUUUCGCAUGAACUCAUCUCCUCAGGAGCAAACUCAUAGUGCUGCAGAGUAUGGAGCUGCCUCUCCAGGUACCUGCGAAGACUAGCCUCUGCAACAUUAAUAAGACUGAGAGAAGCAAUCGUGUGCAUAUAUUUCGUAACAAGAAAUCCUGCUAGGAUCUGCUGAUCAGCUUUUACAAGCUCUGAUAUGAAGGAGGGGAACAGGAUUCUCCUGAAAAUAAGUAACAAGUCAUCCUUUUCGUUGUCUACAGAUUCCUUCUUUCCUUUCUCCAUGAUCCCUGAUAACUGGGCCUCCUGACACUGGCGACAGAAAUUGCCCGUCAAAUAGCAGAGAUAAGAGAAAGCAGUGCCGUAAGAAGAGUUAUUUAUUAUAGUUGAUAUAAUCCCAGAUGAUAACACAAGAAUGAAGAACUCAUGGUCCCUGCCAACUGUAUUCGAGAUGCCUCGUUGUUUCAGUCUGUCUUCAACUGCACCCAAACAUUGCAACUGAAUUGCUUCAUAGGGCAGAAGAAGCACCAGCUUCAAAGUCAGAAAACAAUCCAUCUCAAAUAAAACCCGACUCAACAUCCUGGUACCAUCUUCAUCCAGCAAUAUUCCGUUAGAUUUUGGUAAGGAUUGGUCGAUCAGUCUUAAUAUAUCAUUUAACUGUGAACGUGCAAUCAAUUUUUUGAAAAUCUCCAUCCAACACACAUGUAAAGGAUGAACAUUAAGGCAGUUAUCUAUCUUCACUUUCUCAAGCGAUUCUACUUCCUGAAAGCUUUCCCAUCCUUCAUCCCAGUCAUCAUUAUUCCAAUCAAUUCCUGCUGCAGAUGCUUCUGCAGAAUCUUUCUCAUCUCUUCCAACAACAAAGAAUCCUUCCCAUUCUUCCAAAAUGGCAAGCAGCACUUCAAUAUCAGUAUUUGAAUUGGAAACUUCACAAAACUUCAAGAAGCAGGAGACAGCUGUCUCUGCAUUCAAGAGAUCAUCGGGAGUAAUUUCUAUGGUGGGGGAGAUGGCAGAUGCAAGCUGAGAUGAUUUAAGGGCAACUAAGGUACUUGUGAACUGAGUAGAAGCAUCUGUAUUAUCCAGCAAUCCAUCAUCGGCAGUUGUCUCACUCUUUUUACUAGCAGAGAUUAAUUCAUCCCAUCCUUCCCAUGGUAAAACUUUGGAUUGUAGCUCUGGAGAGAAACCCUUAAUAUUUCUACCCCUGAUCAGUUGCAUAAGCUCUAGAACAUACACCCGAUCAUGACUUGGUAGCUGUGAGUUAUCAGAGAACUGGACCAUUCUUUCCCAAACUACCUGCCUGACCCUCCGCAAGUCCUCCAGUUGACCUUCCAACUUACUCAAAGAUGAUAGCAAAUGAUACAAAUUCUGGUUUCCAUGGGAGCAGCUCACCAAGUCUUUUAAAAUGGGUUCCAACAUAUUUAUAUAGAGAUGAACAAGAGCCUGAGCUUCAGAGUCUGCCGAUGGAGUUGAAUGGUGAUCACAAUGUGAUAUUGCUUCUGAGAAAACUUCUGAAACGGCUCCAAACCCACAACCAGAAAAUACCAUGGCUUUGCAGAAAAUCAGAAUCUCUACAGGAAAAUCACCAAUCAAGCCAUUAGUGACGUAGCCAACAAUGGUUCCCCAGCUCUGACUAGGUGAUACGGUGUCCUCCAUCACCAACCUCAUAAAUACCUUCAAGCAGCUUGACAAGCAGUCUGCAUGGAACUUGAGUUUUUCAACUGAGCUCUCAUUAGAAGCAAUUUCCUGCAUUUCUUCCGUCAAUCUAAGCCAAAAGUUCAAAAGGAUGAUGAGGCAAUCCUGCCAUGUUGAGUUAUCUGGAAUACUCCCAUAACAACAAUGCAAAGGUAUAAUCACAGUUAAAUAUUGCUUCAUAAUGUCCAGAGCAUCUGAAGGUGCCAAAAGUCUGAUAUACAUUUGAGAAGAAUCAUAGAUGUGCUCAAGUUGACCAAUAAACUCCUGAAACUUUUCAGGGUUUCCAAUAUUUAACUCCAUUCUUGUGCUACUUUCCAACAUUGUAAACAAACCUAGAAUAUAAUGUUUAUACACAUCCUGCCACAUCAUGAGAUCUUCAGGCAUUGAAUUGGUAUAGAUACUGGCCAGCGUUUGUACCAUUUUUGCCAACGCUUCCAAAUUAAAUUCACUGAUGUGUCUGCAGACUUCACUGCGUAAAGAAUGCAAAUUCAAACCAUCUAAUCCAGCAACAUUCUUGAAAUUUAGGUUCUUAAUAAAGGAAACCCUUUGACAUUCUUGCGCAAUUACCUUGUAUAAACAAGCUAAUUCAAGAGUGGAUAAACGGGAUGAACAUUCUUCUAUUGCUUGCAGUGAUUGCUUAGUUUCCUCCAGCUGCAAGUAGCAGUCAGAGAGGAGGCCAUAAAUACAGGCAAGACGCUGCUUAUUGCACCCAUCAAUAGCAGGGUACACUACCGAGGAAAUGGUUUUGAUGGUUUCUGAAGCACAGCCAAUUAUCUCUGCUUUGACUUCUGAGAUUUCAGCCAUAAUAUCAUCAACAGUCCAAACCUCAGAAACAAGAAUAGAACUCAAGUACUGAAGUAGAACCUCAGUAUGAUUCAAGCCAUAAGUGUCAGCUAAUUUCAACACAUCCUUCAAAAUGCGUUUCUUUUCCAACUUUACUGAUUCAGUUAGGGAAAAAACAAUACUCUCAAUGUACUUAUAGUCACCAGAUAGAAAGCGCGUGGUGUCAACCCCAGGAAUGAUCUGCUCCAAAACUCUAGAAUGUUCUGCUAUACGCUUUUUUUCUUCUAAUUUGAUCUUCCAUUGCCUCCAGAAUGUUGACUGUGCUUCAUCAAUUUUGUUGAUCUCAUCAGAGCUAAGUGGUGUGCGCUUCUCUUCAAACUUCCUCAAUAGCAGCUCCCUCCUCGGAGAAGGACCAUUACAUUCAACUUCAAAGUUACGCAAUAAACUGUAAGUCAUCCCCACAUUCAUGAUGCUGCAGAUCUCUUGGUAGUUCUUCCUUAUCCUCAGCUGCUCUUCUAUUACUUCUACCCCACUAAAGGCAUCCACAAGAUUCAACAAGAGAGAGCACCCCAGGACAUCCUCCUCUUCCGUAACAGGUGGUUCUAUAAUUGAUUUUGCCAGAGAGGCAAUAACAUUGUCUUUGGGAGCAAAGCCAUUUCUCACCAACCAGGAGAGCAUUGUUACCAGGGCUUGUGUUUGUAUGCUCAUAUAUUGUUUUCCAGGAAUAAAUUCUGAUAGUUUCUUAUCAUUUACUGCUUUCCUACUCAAGUCAAGCAACCAUGGAAGCUGGAAAGCAGCAAAAGAUAAAAUUUUUCCAUUUUCUCUCAAAAAAGAUUCCAAAUCAGUUCCACUGCCAACAGGCAAAUUUUUAGCAACAAAAGAAAGUCUUUCUUUUACUUUACUUAAGUGAGUUUCUUGGUCAUCAUCGUUUGCUCCAUCAACCAGUUUAGAGCAAUCUUUGAGGUUAACCAUAUCUUGAAUACCAUGCACCGGAAGCGAAAAAAAUGAGGAAUCUUGAGAUGGAAAAUUAGGAGAACUCAUCCCUGUUAACAUCAACAAAGUAUCACACUGGCCCUGCAUGUCUAGAUCCUUCCAUGCAUGGAGAAGCUCACCAAUAGACUCCUCAUCACAGUGACUUAAAGCAAAACCUAGCAGCUGUUUUCGAGAGCUUAUAUCCAUAUUUUCGAGAGCAGGACCUCUUGCUAUUGCAGCACAUAAAUCCCAUAUGAGACCAUGUCCUUUUUUAGCCAAAACAAGGCAGAGAUCAAAUGCCAAUUGCAGAUCUCCAGCUACAGCAGCUUCUCUAGCAAUAGCUUCCUCAAUAGCUGAUAUAUCAUCUGAUGAGUUCAAUCCAAGAAGUUUAGCAACCUCAAUGAGUUCAUCAACAUGUAGAUAAGCUCCAGGUUGACUGGCAAUUGCCAUUUUGACAAUCUCCAUGGGAUCCCUUAUCUGCCUGAAUUGCAUGGGUAGAAGAGUCACUCCAAGGUUUGGAAGCUUAACAGUUAGUGCCUCAAUCAUAUCAGCCUCUGCUUUAACAUGUCUGCUGCUUGGAAACAAAUUUAGGCAUUCCUUUGCCUUCCAGAUUUCUGAGCAUGACAGACUAGAAGCUGAGAAAAAGAAUUCCCGUGCUGCUUGAAUAACAAGAUUUUCUGCUUUCUCUGAUGCCAAGGACACUGAACUUGUACCCUUUAGAUAAUUUCUUGCAAGAGAAAAUCUCCCAGCUUUCAGUAAUCCUCUACAGAAUUCUGUUAACAUAUACUCUGGAUCAAGAAAAGGAAAAGCCUUCUCUCGCAAGCAUUGCAUAUCACGCCACAUGCUUGCCCAUUCAUUAUCUAAUCGACCUGGCUGUCUUCGAACAAAUUUCGAAAGCAUAAGGCGAAGAAUCUGUUUCACUCCUUUUUCAUCCGCAUGACCCUCAAGGAAGAAGUUCAUAGGCUUUGGAACCUGGUAAAAUGCCAAAAUUCUCCCAGCUUCAAUAUGGCCUUCUGCAAGUUUAAGUCUUUUCUCAAGGCCAUCGAUAUAUGUUUCAGCAUCUUGCUUCUGUGGAAGCUUAGACAAUAUGGUAGCCAGUGUACUCCAUCUGUCUGUAACUGUGCACAAAUAUAUGCAUUGCAGAGCACAAUCCACAGCUUCAUUCUCAUCCUUGAAGAAUCCGUUACUCUGCAAUUCCCUGCACCCUUCCUCAAUGACUAUCAAACAUACAUCUAAUUUAUUCUCCAAAGCAAUUUCCUUAAGCCAUCUAACCAGAAAUGACUCAUCCUUAUGGUCUAAAGAAAAAUGACCAUCUUUAACCUGAUCUUGAGUAACAGAGGUCAAGUCAUGAAACCUAUUUUGCAUAAAAGGAAUUGCCAUAUCAUGCAACUUUUUUACCACAUUUUCCUCGUUGACUUCCUUUAGCAUCAUUCUGAAUUUUUCAUAAUCAGAUAAUUGUUCCCACUCCAUAAGACUAAUAUUGAAGCUUGUUUCGCUAUCACUCUCAUCAGAAUAAAUAAGCUGGUGCAAGUAUGAAAUAUCCUUGUGAAACUGCUGCAAUUCGAAGAUACCUUUCCGACAAGCUAAGUCAACCAGAAAGAGGCAGUUAUCCAGUUGGCCACUAUAGCAAUCAAUAUCUCUAGCUCUGUUCAUGUACCAUACAGAUAGUUCACUAAUUGAUGGCCAAAUGUAACCUGAGCACUGUUUGACAAUAGGCUCAGUUCUGAUCUGGAUACCACUCUCAUGAUUCUCAGGCAAAUUGUUGAUAAAGCUUAACAUCUCUUCACAUUCAACCCAAUCUUCAUCCCUAAGAGAAACACUCAUAGGAGGGGACCUUCCAGGAAGAAGUUGACCAUAUGUUUGAAUGGGAACAGUCUCAGGAACAGCAGCUAGUAUUUGCAAUAUAGAAGGAGAAAGAGAAUAAGGAUGACGUUUAAACAGGAGGUUUAAAGCACCAAUUUUCCCACUUUCAGCAAGUGUUACAGCAACUUCACUUAGAGGCAUAACACGAAAUUUCCCAUACUCCUGCACUGAAAACCUGCACAAGACUGCCCAUAUUUAUUCCCAGAUAUGUCUCUAGCCUGUCUCUGAAUUGCAAUAACUGCAGCCUGGCCAAACGGAAAUCCCAAAUUUGGCUUCUUUGACAAUCUUCUGAGUCCGAAAAGCGGUAAUGAUCAGUUGCAUGCAGCCCAUGUGCAAGUAAUGCUUUUACAGCACCUUCUGUUGGUCCAGCUUUGUUAAUGCAUUCAGAAAGUACAAAACCAUGAUCCUUAAUAUUUGAUAAAAACAUAUUUAUUUCAUUUAUUCCUUGGCAAGAGUGCAACCACUGUGAUUUUAAAACUUCAUCUAUGUCCAAUCCAUGAUGAUUGGCAAAGUCCAAUGCUUCCUGAUAUUUAUGGUUGCCAAUUAAGAUAUUAUACAUUUCAGGAAUGGAUCUCUCUGAAAUUGAUAUCAACCUCCAGCGCAACCUAGAAAGGUCAAAUUGAUCACUUGCGUCUUCAAUUAUCUGCUGCACAUGGUGUACACUUCUUGAUUCUCUAUUAUCAUUAGAUGAAAAUUUUCUAUCUUCAUAUGAUUUGCUCUCUAAAACAAAUAUUUGCCCUUUAAGCUGCUGUACUCUAUCUAAAACAGGCAUCAAAUAUACAGGAUCAUUUUCUUGAAGUUUUAAGCCAGUAAGGAUAUCAAUCAUUGUGACAAGACCACCCCUCCUUGCAAUAGUCACAAUAUGGUCAGACCACCAAGUAAAAUCAACAUUAUCAAUUAAAAGUCCAUUCCGUACAUUCGAUAAGUUACUGAUCACCUGUGACCGUGAGCCUAAUCUCUCUCCAAUAGCAAAGUUAGAAAGUGAGCACCGUUCUUUAUCCAACUUAAAAAAGUGCAAGCAUCCUGUCAUAUCUAAAGUGGCAACAAAAUUGCCCUGUGGAGACAUUAGCACCUUUGGAUAAGCUAUCUGACCUACAUAAUCUUUUGGUUUGAAAUAGCCUUCAAACUGAAUAGAGAACAAUGGUUCUAGAUCUACACCGUUACAUUGACGCCAAAGGGAAAGAUUACAGGAUCCAGUAUUUCCACUAGACAUUAGUGAGGUGCUAUCAGCACUACCAACAACAAGAAGCAAAGAAUGUUCAGGAUCAUAGUCAAUGCAGUAAACAUCCUUCGGGAACUGUCUCUUCACAGUUAACCCACUGUUUGACGUGCGCAUGGAGGAAAUAGAGGCCUCUGGUUGUUGGCUGAUCUCUACAUGAUGAAGAAAUCCAUCUGAUGUGAGAAUGAUGAAGCUACACAAACAAGAUCCACGUGCAUCAAUAUUGUCCUGUGGAAUCAAACCUAUUAUUGGAAAGCCAGCUUUUAAUUGUCUCUUCAUAAUUCUUGUAAUCUCUUCACCAUUUGCUUUGAUAAAAUAGAAUGCAUCAUUAUCAUCAGCAAUUCCGAGAAUAUCAUGAGUUUCUGACCAAACUCCAUGGGAAAAUAUACCAGGGCCACUACUGGUAAAAGUGCCACAUGGCUCCUGGUAGUCAUCCUCCUUCCGCAAGAUCGUAAUCUGAUUCCCAGUAGCGACAGCCACUCGUUCACCUCUUGGAGAUAUAAUCAAAGAUAUAGGUUUCUUGAUUUUCAAUGGAUUCCUGUAAUCCCUCCAUUUCUCCUUUAGUUGACUUAUACCUGGAGCUGAGAAGAGCGACCACAGAACCCCUUUAACGCCUUCAUUUCUCUUUAAGGAUUGAGGGGGGUAAUUAGAAGAGUAAGGUCUGGUGGCGUGAUUGCGUAUCUCGUAAAGCACUUCUCCGACGCUUUCUUCCUCCAUUGGUAAUGUCACUUUGUUACUAUGCAACCAAGAUGCAGUCCUAUACUGCUGCCAGGCAGCCAAAGAAGAAACUGAUCACAGAUGAUGACGGUGGUGAUUCUGGUUCAAGGCCUCGGGCUUCCGCAU